rnacentral:rRNA from 1 species
AUUGAACGCUGGCGGCAGGCUUAACACAUGCAAGUCGAGCGGGGUGAUGGUGCUUGCACUAUCACUUAGCGGCGGACGGGUGAGUAAUGCUUAGGAAUCUGCCUAUUAGUGGGGGACAACAUCUCGAAAGGGAUGCUAAUACCGCAUACGUCCUACGGGAGAAAGCAGGGGAUCUUCGGACCUUGCGCUAAUAGAUGAGCCUAAGUCGGAUUAGCUAGUUGGUGGGGUAAAGGCCUACCAAGGCGACGAUCUGUAGCGGGUCUGAGAGGAUGAUCCGCCACACUGGGACUGAGACACGGCCCAGACUCCUACGGGAGGCAGCAGUGGGGAAUAUUGGACAAUGGGGGGAACCCUGAUCCAGCCAUGCCGCGUGUGUGAAGAAGGCCUUAUGGUUGUAAAGCACUUUAAGCGAGGAGGAGGCUCUUUUGGUUAAUACCCAAGAUGAGUGGACGUUACUCGCAGAAUAAGCACCGGCUAACUCUGUGCCAGCCGCCGCCGUAA